rnacentral:tRNA from 1 species
AAAGAUUUAGUUUAAUAAAAACUAAAACAUUAACUUGUCAAGUUAAAUAUACUCAAUUUUGAGUAAUCUUUA